CCUUCACUCUCCUCGCCAUAAUCCUGAACCACGACACAAGAGCAACCAACCACCUUCCUGGCUUUGCCCUCAGAAUCAAUCUUACACAAGCCAGCCCACUCGCCAAGGGUCUUAGCACUAGGAAUAGUCAAAAGCCCAACACCAUGAUCGGCACAAAGGCCUUUGACAAGUUUAACAUAGUCCGGCUGGUUGCAGUCCUCUGCCAAUACGCAGAGCUGGGCAGUAUGCUUCUCGAUCACUUUUGCACCUUCGUGAAGACCUCGAAUAAGCCCACCAUGAGCCAAAGAUCUUCUGAGGACUAGCUGCAAUGCAGUCAUC
rnacentral:misc_RNA from 1 species